rnacentral:rRNA from 1 species
UACGUAGGGUGCAAGCGUUGUCCGGAUUUAUUGGGCGUAAAGAGCGUGUAGGCGGCCAGAUAAGUCCGCUGUGAAAUCUCGAGGCUCAACUUCGAGCUGUCGGUGGAAACUAUCUGGCUAGAGUCCGGAAGAGGAGAAUGGAAUUCCUGGUGUAGCGGUGAAAUGCGCAGAUAUCAGGAAGAACACCCGUGGCGAAGGCGGUUCUCUGGGACGGUACUGACGCUGAGACGCGAAAGCGUGGGGAGCGAACAGG